rnacentral:rRNA from 1 species
AUCUUGGUUCAGGAUGAACGCUAGCUACAGGCUUAACACAUGCAAGUCGAGGGGCAGCAUUAUCGAAGCUUGCUUUGAUAGAUGGCGACCGGCGCACGGGUGAGUAACGCGUAUCCAACCUUCCCUAUAGUAGAGAAUAGCCCGGCGAAAGUCGGAUUAAUGCUCUAUGUUGUAUUUAGAGGGCAUCUGAAGAAUACCAAAGGUUUACCGCUAUAGGAUGGGGAUGCGUCUGAUUAGGUAGUAGGCGGGGUAACGGCCCACCUAGCCGACGAUCAGUAGGGGUUCUGAGAGGAAGGUCCCCCACAUUGGAACUGAGACACGGUCCAAACUCCUACGGGAGGCAGCAGUGAGGAAUAUUGGUCAAUGGACGGAAGUCUGAACCAGCCAAGUAGCCGUGCAGGAUGACGGCCCUAUGGGUUGUAAACUGCUUUUAUAUAGGGAUAAAGUCGGGGACGUGUCCCCGUUUGUAGGUACUAUAUGAAUAAGGACCGGCUAAUUCCGUGCCAGCAGCCGC